rnacentral:rRNA from 1 species
AGUAACGCGUGGGUAACCUGCCCUGUACAGGGGGAUAACAGUCAGAAAUGACUGCUAAUACCGCAUAAGACCACAGCACCGCAUGGUGCAGGGGUAAAAACUCCGGUGGUACAGGAUGGACUCGCGUCUGAUUAGCUGGUUGGUGAGGUAACGGCUCACCAAGGCGACGAUCAGUAGCCGGCUUGAGAGAGUGAACGGCCACAUUGGGACUGAGACACGGUCCAAACUCCUACGGGAGGCAGCAUG